rnacentral:rRNA from 1 species
AGUGAACGCUGGCGGCGUGCUUAACACNUGCAAGUCGAACGAUGAAGCUAGUGCUUGCACUAGUGGAUUAGUGGCGAACGGGUGAGUAAUAUAUAGCUAACCUGCCCCUUGGAGGGGGACAACAGUUGGAAACGACUGCUAAUACCCCAUACUCCUUUCUAACAUAAGUUAGAUCGGGAAAACUCCGGUGCCAAGGGAUGGGGCUUUACGGUAUCAGCUAGUUGGUGAGGUAAAAGCUCACCAAGGCUAUGACGCCUAGCUGGUCUGAGAGGAUGAUCAGCCACACUGGAACUGAGACACGGUCCAGACUCCUACGGGAGGCAGCAGUGGGGAAUAUUGCACAAUGGGGGAAACCCUGAUGCAGCACCGCCGCGUGGAGGAUGACGCAUUUCGGUGUGUAAACUCCUUUUAUAUCCCAAGAUAAUGACGGUAAGAUAUGAAUAAGCACCGGCUAACUCCGUGCCA